rnacentral:rRNA from 1 species
AUGGGGACGAACAGACGGAAACGACUGCUAAUACCGAAUAAGUUCCAAGAGCCGCAUGGCCCAUGGAAGAAAAGGUGGCCUCUACCUGUAAGCUAUCGCCUGAAGAGGGGUUUGGCGUCUGAUUAGCUGGUUGGAGGGGUAACGGCCCACCAAGGCGACGAUCAGUAGCCGGUCUGAGAGGAUGAACGGCCACACUGGAACUGAGACACGGUCCAGACUCCUACGGGAGGCAGCAUG